rnacentral:rRNA from 1 species
AGAGUUUGAUCCUGGCUCAGAGUGAACGCUGGCGGCGUGCCUAACACAUGCAAGUCGAACGAGAACGGACUUAAGUUUACUUAAGUUGUCAGCUAAGUGGCGCACGGGUGAGUAAUAUAUAGUUAACCUGCCUCAAAGAAGAGAAUAAUUGUUGGAAACGACUUGUAAUGCUCUAUAUGCCUUUAUCACAUAAGUGAGCAAGGGAAAUAUUUAUAGCUUUGAGAUGGGACUGUACGGUACCAGAUAGUUGGUGAGGUAAUGGCUCACCAAGUCUAUGACGCCUAACUGGUUUGAGAGGAUGAUCAGUCACACUGGAACUGAGACACGGUCCAGACUCCUACGGGAGGCAGCAGUGGGGAAUAUUGCACAAUGGAGGAAACUCUGAUGCAGCAACGCCGCGUGGAGGAUGACACAUUUCGGUGCGUAAACUCCUUUUAUUAGGGAAGAUAAUGACGGUACCUAAUGAAUAAGCACCGGCUAACUCCGUGCCAGCAGCCGCGGUAAUACGGGGGGUGCAAGCGUUACUCGGAAUCACUGGGCGUAAAGAGCAUGUAGGCUGAUUAGUAAGUUGGAAGUGAAAUCCUAUGGCUCAACCAUAGAACUGCUUCCAAAACUGCUUAUCUAGAGUAUGGGAGAGGUAGAUGGAAUUUCUGGUGUAGGGGUAAAAUCCGUAGAGAUCAGAAGGAAUAUCGAUUGCGAAGGCGAUCUACUGGAACAUUACUGACGCUGAGAUGCGAAAGCGUGGGGAGCAAACAGGAUUAGAUACCCUGGUAGUCCACGCCCUAAACGAUGCACACUAGUUGUUGCUAUGCUAGACAUAGCAGUAAUGCAGUUAACACAGUAAGUGUGCCGCCUGGGGAGUACGGUCGCAAGAUUAAAACUCAAAGGAAUAGACGGGGACUCGCACAAGCGGUGGAGCAUGUGGUUUAAUUCGACGAUACGCGAAGAACCUUA